AUCUAUAUGAAUGAGAUCACAAUUUAAUUUCUUUUUAAAUUUAUUUCAGAUCCAAAAACUUUGAAUAAGGAUGCUGACUUACAACUGCAUGUUCAAACAGUUAUGGGAGAUGCAGAAAUUAAACAGAAUUCUGAACUUAUCAUCAGUACGCCUCAUAUGGAUACUGCACCUGUACAACUUUCAGGUCCCACUUCAAUUGAGGAUAAGAAUACCAAGGAAAAAACUGGUAAGUAACUAAUCCUACUAAUCCUACUAAUAUUAUAAUCCUACUGGACGUAGAGAAGGGUUUGGACAUGAAACCCACCAACCACGCUUGUCCAAUGCGGGUUAGUGGGUGCACAGUAAACCUUACU
rnacentral:misc_RNA from 1 species